AGGGUGGCCUUCAGACGGGAUCCAUGAGCAUCCCAACCCAAAUGAUUUGAGGUUUUCAACAACAUUAAGGCCUACUGGUUUUGAGCCCAGCGCUUCGUUCGGCUCUACGUGCUUAUGGAGUACCCUGGAGUUCAGAACUGGUAUCUCAUCCUAUCCACAAAAUAAUGACAGCAAGGUUCCCCUGUUCAUGAAGAAUGGUCCAGCACCCAAAGGACGUCCAGCCGACCUGACACAACUGUGGGAAGCAUCGGAAGUCAACAUGUGCCAGCAUCCCUGUGGAAUGCUUUCAACACCUUUUAGAGUCCAUGA